UUUUAAAACUAGAACUUACAGGCUAAAAACUCCGGGCAUUUCGCUGAAAAUUCCUGACGCAUAUAAAAAUGCAUGUAGUUUCUUGCAGCUUAAGGAUUACUACACUUACUGCAAAUUAGGACUAAUACAGAAUAACACAGAAGAGGAGUUAAAGUAAAAAAUUUAAAAAAUUCUCUAAAACUCCGGAACGCUCAUAAUUAUCCUGGACCCUUUGGAAAAUCCGUCCGGACAUCCCUGGACAUCCUAAAAAAGAGGACAGUGUCCGAGGAAAAGAGGCAGCCCUAGACAUAUAUAUGACCGACGUGUCAAUAUCGUAUCCGCAUACACGCAUAAAGCUUUCCAUGCAUGUCGCCACGGUGGUACACGUACAUCGUACAUGCUCGUCUUUUGAAUACAGCGAUAACGACUACACGAAGGAAAUUGAACGUCACGACGGAGUGAAAUGCCGCUAGAAAGAAAAGCCGAUUGACCCGAUUCGACGUCGUACUGUCGACGAUUAAAAAUGAAAUAUCGUGUGGCGAUAUCGUAUAGAAAAAUGUCCGAGUCGGAAAUACGACAUCGUAGGAUGUCUGCGCCCUACGUAACCUACGUAAAAAUCAUCGUUGCGAGGUAGACCGAUAAUUAUGCACCCUGGUAUUCACCUCGGCCUCGGUAAGAUAUAUAUACGUACAUUUUUCACACUUCUUGAAU